rnacentral:misc_RNA from 1 species
GCAAGAUUUUGCAGGAAAAAAUAAGGCGGUCCCUCCCUUCCUCUCUCUACUUCUCUGGGAGAGAAGAAACCACCAGCACCAGGAACCAAUAAUGGAGGUGCCUCAGCCUCAUCAGGAUCAACGCUCUAGAUCUUCCAGACCCCUCACCAUUCAUGCCUUGGCUCACUCUGGAGAUCUUCUUUCCUUUCAGAAGCUGCUGCGAGCUAAUCCUUCUCUUCUCGAUGAAAGAAAUCCUGUUGUAUAAUAAGAUCCUAUUCUUUUUUCAAAUCUUAUAUUACAUUUUCCAGCAAUUCAUUCUUUUUUUUCCUUUGCUUUGUUUUGUUGUUGAUUUUCUGUAAAUUUGGCUUCUGUCGUCGAUGAAUUUGGAUCCAUUUCUCAAAUUUCUUCAUUGUUUGAUUGUGCUUGCCCAACAAUUUCUUGCCAAUUAUUGAUUGGUUUGCUUCUUUUUUUUUUCCUCCUUUAGUUCUUCUCUGACAUUGAAAAUGAAAUACGAUGGUGAAUUAUUAUUCUUUGAGAUAUAAUGCAGUUGGAUUUAGACUUCAACGGAGAGAGAAUUAGCGAGUAGAGGCUUUCUCUUUUAAUGUUGGUUUUUAUUUCAUAUUACUUGGGUUAUGGAAAAUCUGGACUUUGGUACAUUCAGGAUAAGCUUAUGUCCUUCAUCGGGUAGAUGGAUUGCGACAAGGCUAGUUAAUAAGGGACUGAAGGGGGGAGAAUAUUUUGUAGAAGUGCAU